rnacentral:rRNA from 1 species
AUGGCGGCGUUUGCGGCGAAAGGGUCGCUGCGGGGGGGCUGCUUCACGGCGAGCGGCCUCUCCGGGAAGAACCCUCCUCCAAGUAACAGCUUCUGCAACCACUUUGUGCCGUCGCGGAGCAACGCUGUUCCGUCCAUGGCCUGGGGCAUGGGCUGCGACAGAAGGCAGGUGAAGCUGAAGGCCCAGGUGCCUAAGUGGGUUUUGCUGAACGAUGAUUAUCUGUAUGAUGAUCAAGCAUUACAGAUCGACACAAUUGUUUCCAGUUCAGCUGUGUACAUCGACCUUCUCAACAGGGAACGUUAUCGGGAUCCAGUGUUAGGGAGAACAAAGCCGGAGGUAACAUAUCAGCACAAGCAGCGCCUGGAGGCUGAUGAGAAGCGCUUGAGAGAUCUUGUGGAUGGCCUGGUUGAGUCCAUCUCAUCGGACAGUAAGAACUACAGAUACGUCAUAAUGUCCAUCAAAGAGAAUGCUAAUAUGAUUAUGGAGGAGGGUUUUAUUUCCUCUUAUGCUCGAGAUGAAAUUUUAGAAGGUCUUGAAAGGAUAGAGAAGGACAUUGAAGUGGGAAAAUUCCAUUGGAGAAACAAUAAAGAUAUCCGGUCUAACAUUGUUGAAGCACUCAUUGACAUAGUUGAAGGGCCAGCAAAAAGGCUGGAUGCAGUAAUAAGCCGUUACGCUCAAAUUCUUACAGUCCUCCAAAUAUGGUGUCAUGACUCCAUUGAUAAAUUUGUUGCCCAGAUAAAAGAACUCCAGGUUGAGCUUGUUUUGCUAGCGAUAAGAAAUGAGGGAUUGGUCCUACCUUGCACCGCUAGGAAUGCAGACUGUAUUCUACUUGGCGAUCUGGUAUUAUCAAAAGUUGAACAGCUAGAAAAUGAUGUCUCUCAGCUGGUUAGCUGCAAAAACAAGAUUGGCUCUACACUACAAACUUCUUUCCUUUCAGGCCGCACCGAUGAUUCUAUGAACAGCUUAUCAAAGGGUAGUUUGCAUCACAUAUGCAAUUCUAUUUUGAAAUUUGGAAACCUGAUCGUUGGUGACAUCGCGCACGAUGUUACAGAUCUUGAACAGGACCUGCAUUCAUGGAUGCGGAUGUUGACACAAAAUGAUGAAGUGACCCAAAGUUUAUUGCUUAUGUGGAGGCACCAGAUUGAUCUAGAUAUUUUUAAUGUCAUUCAAAGUUCUGGCUCUAUCUACAAUGCUGAUGUGGAUAGCAGCAAGCGGUUUUUGAAAGCCUGUAAAGUGGUUCCAGAAAUGAUCAGAGCAGCUAGAGGGUUUGUAAAACACACAUCUUUUAAUCACGAAAAGAUCCAGAGCUUUCCACCUAAGAGUUUUCUUGAUGCUCCACAGCUUGCAGGAUUCCGUUCAGCCAAGGAUCUGGAUCACGGAGCUGGCGCUGCUGCGAAGCAAGAUUUCAAAUUUCACAGUGACCAUACAACGGGGAGGCUGCUUGGCUGGCUUCGACGUCUUCAUCAAUCCGGGCAGAAUAGCUAG